AUGAGACGACUCUUUCUUGAACUAUAUAAUAAAAAUAUCUUCCCCUCCACACCAAUCACGAGUUUUUCUCCAUUCCUCUCGUAUAUCGUCGUAACGCCCUUAAUACUAGGUUUUGAAAAAUACUUUUCAUGUCAUUCCCAUUUAGGUCCGAUUCGGAUCACUUCGUUGUUUUCUUUUCCUCCCGCACCUUUUCCUCGAAAUGAUAAAGAAGAUGAUUGA